UGCAGAGGACACAGGAAAGAAGAAAUUAAAGCUUGAAUCUAAACUCCUACAUCUAAAUAACUUCUCCAGUUACCAAGUUCAGAUUGAAUUCAGAAUACUCUGCAUUGCCUGCAUCCCUGUCAAUACAAAUGAGUCUGGGGAAGAGUCUCUCAGGACUCAACACGGAUUCAGAUUCUGGCUCAGAGCUAACACAGACAAUGCUGAACUAGAUCCUAGUAUAAAUCAGCACAGGUGCCACAAACUGAGUGGAACAGUAUCUCACAUGAGAGAAGAGUCUGGUCAAAGGUUUCUCUUUUUUUUUUUUUUUUCCUUUUUUUUUUUUCUAAACCAAAACUGAAGCCAAACGUAAAUUUACUAAAACAAAACAAAACCAACCAACAAACAAAACCAACAAUCAAAGACAAAAGAAAUCCC
rnacentral:lncRNA from 1 species